rnacentral:rRNA from 1 species
GAUGAACGCUGGCGGCGUGCCUAAUACAUGCAAGUCGAGCGAACGGACGAGAAGCUUGCUUCUCUGAUGUUAGCGGCGGACGGGUGAGUAACACGUGGAUAACCUACCUAUAAGACUGGGAUAACUUCGGGAAACCGGAGCUAAUACCGGAUGAUAUUUUGAGCCGCAUGGUUCAAAAGUGAAAGACAGUCUUGCUGUCACUUAUAGAUGGAUCCGCGCUGCAUUAGCUAGUUGGUAAGGUAACGGCUUACCAAGGCAACGAUGCAUAGCCGACCUGAGAGGGUGAUCGGCCACACUGGAACUGAGACACGGUCCAGACUCCUACGGGAGGCAGCAGUAGGGAAUCUUCCGCAAUGGGCGAAAGCCUGACGGAGCAACGCCGCGUGAGUGAUGAAGGUCUUCGGAUCGUAAAACUCUGUUAUUAGGGAAGAACAUAUGUGUAAGUAACUGUGCACAUCUUGACGGUACCUAAUCAGAAAGCCACGGCUAACUACGUG